UACGUAGGGUGCAAGCGUUAAUCGGAAUUACUGGGCGUAAAGCGUGCGCAGGCGGUGAUGUAAGACAGAUGUGAAAUCCCCAGGCUCAACUUGGGAACUGCAUCCGAUACUGGAUGGCUUGAAUCCGGGAGAGGGAUGCAGAAUUCCAGGUGUAGCGGUGAAAUGCGUAGAUAUCUGGAGGAAUACCGGUGGCGAAGGCGGCAUCCUGGACCGGCAUUGACGCUGAUGAGCGAAAGCUAGGGGAGCAAACGGG
rnacentral:rRNA from 1 species